CCACGUCCCGACGCAAUCCCCCCCGGCGCCGGGACUCUCCCAGAGCCGGCCUCCGGCGCCUGUCCCCCCGGGCGCCGGAGCCGGCUCCUCC
rnacentral:ncRNA from 1 species